rnacentral:tRNA from 1 species
ACAUUGGUGGUUCACUGGUAGGACUCUCCCCUUCCACGUGGGAGACCUGGAUUCAAUUCCCAUCCAGUGUU